UUGAUCAAUUUGAGCACCGUAGUUUCAUUUCAAAUGUUAGAGAAACUUCAGGUCAAAAUGAUGGUUUAGUAUCUCUUCAAAACAAGCUUAUUUUUGACCUUUCCUCUGGUAAUAAGGUGCCUACAGAAAAUGUGCCUACAGAAAAUGUGCCUACAGAAAAUGUGGUUACAGCUAAUAUAGCUGAAAUAAAAAAUGUGGUUCGCGAGAGAAAAGUGUUUGUGGUAUUAGAUGAUGUUGAUGAUCCGAGCCAACUUAAUGCACUAUGUG
rnacentral:lncRNA from 1 species